rnacentral:rRNA from 1 species
UACAGAGGUCUCAAGCGUUUGUUCGGAUUGCAUUGGGCGUAAAGGGUGCGUAGGCGGCGCGGUAAGUCGGGUGUGAAAUCUCGGAGCUUAACUCCGAAACUGCAUUCGAUACUGCCGUGCUUGAGGACUGGAGAGGAGACUGGAAUUUACGGUGUAGCGGUGAAAUGCGUAGAUAUCGUAAGGAAGACCAGUGGCGAAGGCGGGUCUCGUGGGACAGU